rnacentral:tRNA from 1 species
GGCCUCGUGGCCUAAUGGAGAAGGCGUCUGACUUCGGAUCAGAAGAUUCUAGGUUCGAGUCCUGGCGGGGUCG